rnacentral:rRNA from 1 species
MUACGUGCCAGCAGCCGCGGUAAUACGGAAGGUCCAGGCGUUAUCCGGAUUUAUUGGGUUUAAAGGGAGCGUAGGCGGAUUGUUAAGUCAGCGGUUAAAGGGUGUGGCUCAACCAUGCAUUGCCGUUGAAACUGGCGAUCUUGAGUGCAGACAGGGAUGCCGGAAUUCGUGGUGUAGCGGUGAAAUGCUUAGAUAUCACGAAGAACUCCGAUCGCGAAGGCAGGUGUCCGGGCUGCAACUGACGCUGAGGCUCGAAAGUGUGGGUGUCAAACAGGAUUAGAUACCCUGGUAGUCCACACAGUAAACGAUGUAUACUCGCGGUUUGCGAUAGAUUGUAAGCCGCCAAGCGAAAGCAUUAAGUAUACCACCUGGGGAGUACGCCGGCAACGGUGAAACUCAAAGGAAUUGACGGGGGCCCGCACAAGCGGAGGAACAUGUGGUUUAAUUCGAUGAUACGCGAGGAACCUUACCCGGGCUUGAACUAACGGUGACGAAUCUAGAGAUAG